rnacentral:lncRNA from 1 species
GGAUACCACAUCCAUCACAUUGACAUGGGCCUUAUCUUUGCUACUCAAUAAUCGUGACAAAUUGAGUAAAGUCCAACAAGAACUAGAUGUCCACAUUGGUAAGGAUAGACUACUUCUGACCGAAUCAGACACCAAAAACUUAGUGUACCUUCAAUCCAUCAUUAAAGAAACUCUACGCCUAUAUCCUCCUGGUCCGCUCUCUGUGAUCCAUGAAGCCAUUGAAGACUGCACGGUUAAUGGAUACCAUGUUUCAGCUGGCACUUGGCUUAUUAUGAAUCUUCAUAAGAUUCAUCAUGAUCCACUUAUAUGGGCAAACCCUUUUGAAUUUCAACCUGAAAGAUUUAUAACUACCCACAAAGACAUUGAUGUGAGGGGACAGAAUUUUGAACUAGUUCCAUUUGGAAGUGGUAGAAGAAUGUGCCCCGGAGUUUCAUUUUCACUUCAAGUUUUACAGCUUACGUUGGCUAAUGUGUUGCAUUGGUUUGAGUUUGAAACCCCAUCAGGCAUAGCAGUCGAUAUGCGUGAAGGACUUGGGAUAACGAGUUCUAAAACAACUCCAUUAGAAGUUCAUAUAACUCCUCGCCUUCUUGCUUUUGUUUACAAUUCCACUAACCCCAUUAGAGCUUACCCUGGGUAAUUUGCUGCAUUGGUUCGAGUUUCAAACUCCAUCAAACAAUCCAGUCGAUAUGUCUGAAGCAGUCAAAUUAAUGAGUCCUAAAGCAACUCCAUUAGAAGUUUAUAUAACUCCUCACAUUCCUACUUAUGUUUACCUAUAAUUAUAAUAAAUAAAUUUUUAGUAUUAUUACUAUAUAUAUCUUUUUGCUGAUUUAAUAUAUUUAUUUAUUUUGAAUAAAUAAUUUUAUUCAAAACAUGCAUUAUCAAUAAUCGUGUUGAAAGAACAUUUCAACAUACUAAAGCAUAUGAGAACGAAAGUCGAUUGGAACCUUACCCCUGUAUUGGUGGAUAUCAAUGUACUACUAAAGCAUCAAGUUGGAGUUGUUUAUUGGGCUCUUCUAAGAAAAAAUCACAGAGUUCAUUUCAUAAAGAUAUAAUUUUAGCUAAAUCAUAAAUUUAGAGUUGUUAUGCCUCCGCUGCUUGGAUCUACUCCUCACGAAAGCUCCACCUAUUACUCGGACAUAUCUUUCGGGAACAUUCCUUGACCUAACUGUCAUAUUAAUUUAUGUGAGCUCUACUCAUUAAUCGUCACUAUUCAACCUCACUAUCGUGUUUCAUCUAAAGUGAUUGAAAGCACGUCCAAUCGCCACCCUAUCUAAAUCUAUGGUGACAAACCAUUUGGCCCAUUAUUCCUGACUUGCUAAUAGAGACGUGACAUAUGGCAUCUCGAGAUUGUAGCUAAGGGUUUAAAAUCUCUCAAAUCUAACUAGAAAAAGGAACUCUCUCUUUCUCUCCGCUCCUUUCAUUCCUCCUUCAACAACCUAACCCGAUAUCAACACUAUCUUCGUUUGAACACCUCCUAUGGUGGUUGUCUGCCUUAUACCUAACGGGGUGAAUCGCCUAAUUCCACUGUCAUUUCUGUUUUAUCAAAUCCAAGCAUUAACAAUUGAUAAAGUAAGUGUAGACUCACUCCUAUUCUGAUAUUUCUCUAAUACCAAACUCAAAACCAAAUAUAAAAUGUUAUCUAAACUCAACCAAAUCAACACGAAAACUACUACUAUCAUCCUUACAACUAUUAUGCUAAACGAUAUUCAUGUCAACAAAGAUAUUAUAAAGCUUACCCAAACUAUUAAAUUAGACAAUUUGAAUUAAAAGUUGAUUUGAAAUUAAAUGCUUUUAUCGUAUGUGUCAUUAAACGGAGCUUUCUACAUUAGCAUGUAACUUGUUAGAUGGAGCUUUCUAGCAGGCAGGGGCUUGAGCUUGAUCCCCACUUGGCUAAAGGGUAUAGUACCCUUUUCAAUCCCUUUGAAAAUUGAUUCUUAAAUAUUAUUCUUAAAAUUAGUCCACAAGUUUAUCUUACUCGAAAAAAGAUUAAAUUGUUCAAAAAAAUAAAAGUGUAAGGACUAGUUUUAACAGAUGGUAAACAUAGAAAAUUGCGUUAAAAGAAAUGGAGAAGGGAGGAAAACAGAGAGAGAAGCAAAAGAGAAUGCAAAAAAUAAGGAAAAAAAAAGAAGAAAAAAUAACAUAAAAGAAAAAAUGAAAUUUCUCAAAAUGAAAAAAUAUGGGGACCGAUAAUAGAAAUUAACCUAAAAUUUUUGUUUGUAAUGAUGAUUUAAUGUGCCACAUCAGUUUACCAUUUAUAUCGUUAAUGACAAUCAACGACGCAAUGACUAAAAUGUUACAGUGAGAUAACUUAAGUGACUAAAAUGUAACCUAAAGUAAACAAAAAUGACUAUUUUAGUUGUUUACCCAUAAUAUUACUUAUUUUAAUUACGGAAUGACAUUCAUAUAAUUUUUUAACCAAGUUAGUGACCGAUUGACUCAUACACCAACUUGAUCCGGAGUUUAAUAAUAGUAUAGAUAUACAACUGAUGGAACUAAUAGAGUGUGUAUAAUAAAAUUAAAAUAUAUACAAAUAUCAAAAUAAAAUUUUAGUUGAGUGGUAAAUUAAAUAUUUUAAAUAAUGCAAUUGGUGUGAGUUUGAAUCCCAUAAUAUCCAUAUUUUUAUCUCUUUUUUUACGUAAAAAGAUUAAAAUACCCUCAUAGUUUAAUUAAGAAUUGAUGCCCAACUAAUUCGUGACACAAACUCGACAAAAAAAUUAAAAGUAAUAUAGAUUUAAUUAAUUAUUAUCAAAAUUAACUCAAUAUAAAACAGUUAAAAAUCAGAAAAUAUCCGAAUUUAUAUUUAAAAAAAUAUGAAUAGAAAAAUCUAAGAUAAUUUCAAAAAAAAUUCCCACACAUGUACUUUAAUAUUUCCGAACACUGCCAAGCUUCAAUAGGCUAUGUAUACUAUUGUUUGUCAAAAGUAGAAAACGUGGGUGGAUUUUGCGUGAUCCUUUAAGAUAUGUAAGAGAUUGAGCAAUCUUACAAUUAUAUCAACAUUUAGUUAAAUUACGUGAUUAAUCUCUGUAUUAUGAAUUUAAUUCUUGUAUUUUAAUUUAUUUAAUUUUCAACUUUAAAAUUUUAGUUCUCAUCAAACCAUAAUUAUUACAUUCAUUAAGUUAAAUUUUGCUAUUUUCAAAAUUUAAUGCGAAAAACAUAUUACCAUAUAUGUAAUGCCAUGUCUUAUUAUUUUCAAAUAUUACUCACUAAAAAUUCAGUUAAUGGAUUAAUGACGGUCAUUUACGUCAAGAAUGAAAUUUUAAUUUUUAAAAAGUACAGGGAUUUAGAAUGAUCUAAUUGGAGAAUAUGGACUAAAUUUACAAUCGCACACAUAAUACAAGACUAAUAAUUGAAUUUAAACAAACGGAUUUAACUACUGUUUAUUGGGGUUAAGACUAGAAUUUUAAAAUUAAAAAAAAGUUUAAGAGACUAAAAUUCACCAAUUCAAAAAAUAUAAUGAUCAAAAUUAAUCAAAUUAAAAUGUAUGGGUUAAAUCUGUAAGUUUUACAAAGUAGAGGGACUAAUAACAAAAUUUAACCUUAAUUAAAGAAAUUAUUGUUCCUAGAGUGUGGGGGAAUAUAUAUAAUUGGGUAGACAGCAGGUCACAGUUUUCAUUUUUAGGCACCAAAAAUAAAAAUUUACAACUUUGGCACUCCUAAUUUAUCUUUUCCCUCAUCUCUGCUACUCACAUUCCAUUUCUUAUUUUAAUAUUGAAGUGGGAAUCUGGCGAUGGAUUAUUUCUAUUCACUCACAGCAACUUCAACGGUUGCAAUCGUUGCUUUUCCACUACUACUUUUCUCUUUUCUGUCGAUCUCAAGAAGAAACACAAACUCAAAGAAAACAGCACCAGAAGCAGUCGAUAUGUGUGAACUGUGAAGCACUUGGGAUAUCAAGUUCUAAAGCAACUUCAUUAGAAGUUUAUAUAACGUCUUCUUUUUUAUUUUAUUUUAUGAUUCCAUUAACUAAUUGGUAUUUUAAUUUUAUUAAAAAAUGAAUAGAAUUCAAUAAAUUUCUAAGGUACUAUACUCGUCAUGGAAUAAUACCAUAUGCAACUUUUAGUAUUUUAACUUUCUUGAAAAAAAAAAGUAGAAUUCAAUAAAUUUCAAAUAUUUCAGGGAAAAGUGGUUUGCCCAAGUAAUGUUAGUCAAUUUAAUGGUAAAGACAUGAAUGUCCCUUGCACGAUAUCAAAUCCACUGGACCCUUGAUCAGUCCAAUUCAAGGAGACGUAAAGUAUCGCACUACAUGUCAAAUCAAGACCAGCUCUUAACAACAUUUUGAUUGAUUGUUUUCAGAACAAGAAAAAUGGAAAAGAAUUGAUAAUGGAAAUGGAUUGAUCAUUGAUGUAUGAUGGGUGGGGACGGGGGAAAAGGGUACUUCACUUUACAUAAAAAAGAUCAUGAUCUUUGUUCAUCGCAAACAAAAUAUAGGCAAUAGAUUUAGCUAAUAAUAAAUUACAAUUUCUUAAAACAACUAUAAAUCCAACUCCCUCAACUUAAUUAAUUGGUAUGGAUUCAUUUUAUUCAACCCCAACCCCUUCAACCCUUGUGAUAAUUGUUUUUCCAUUAUUGCUAGUUUUUCUUUUCUUUUUUCUAUGGAUAUCAAAAUCUAACCCUACAAAUACAAACAAUGGGAAACUAGCAACAGAAGCGGGUGGAGCAUGGCCUAUUAUUGGCCAUCUCCGCCUCCUAAGAGGGCCACAACCACAUCACAUAAUGUUUGGGUUUUGACAACAAAACAAAGAGAAAAGAAGCAAAGAAAUGUAUGCAAAACAAAUUUGAACAAGAAGAAACUGAAAAAUGAAUCUGAUUAUCAUUUUAAAUUUUCAUUAAGUAAAAAACAUAUAGGUUACAAAGUUGUUACCUAAUGUGUAACCGCUCCCACUAAUUACUUGAUUAAAGUAAAGCUAAAAUUACACACAAAAUGUAGCUGACAUAUCAGCUAUUGUAUCACAUUGGAAAUCAUUCAAAUCAUCAACUAAUCUUUCUAGCUUUAAAUACAAAUUAGGUAAAAACUAAAGCUAGUUACAUAUAUAUGAACAAAAUGUUGCUGCUGUACUAGUUGAGCUUCAAUGCUUCUCUGCUGUUGCAUUGUAGGCCAAAGUUCAACACUCCUCCUUAGACUGUAUGCAACAAACACCAAUACUUCUUCUUAAGUUCUCAAAUCUUGUAGCACCGAGAGACUUAGUUAGUAUAUCAGCAAAUUGAUUCUCUAAGCUGCAAUGAAUCAAAUUAACUUCAUUUGAUUGUUCAGCCUCUCUAACAAAAUGAAAUUUUAUCUUAAAAUGCUUGGUUUUGACAUGAAAUACUGGAUUUUUGGCUAUGGCAACAGCUGACUGAUUGUCAACUCUAAUAUCAGUAGCUUCAGCUUGAUCUUCAUUCAAAUCACAUAAAAGUUUCCUAAGCCAAAUGGCUUGAUUAACAGCUGCAGCAGCUGCAAUGUACUCUGCUUCUUCUGCAGAUUGAGCAACAAUUUUUUGUUUUUUUGAACUCCAACAAAAGACCUUUGAGCCAAGAGUGAAGAAAUAACUAGAUGUUCUCUUCAUGUCAUCAAUGGAUCUUGCCCAAACACUAUCAGAAUACCCUAUCAACUUGAGUUCUUUUGCAUUCUCAAAUUUCACUCCAUAGCUCAAAAUCCCUUUCACAUAUCUAAGAACCCUUUUACCUGCUUUAAAAUGAACAACAUCACAGCAAUGCAUGAAUCUAGAAAGAAAACUAACAUCAAACAUAAUAUCAGGCCUAGUAGCUGUCAAGUAAAGCAGACAACCUACAAGGCUUCUAUACUUUUUCUCAUCAACUCUUUCAUGGUUGCCAUUGUUGGUUAGUUUCUCACCUUGAGCCACUGGUGUGCUAACUGUUUUACAAUUUGACAUACAAAAUUUGUUUAAGAUCUUCAAGGCAAAGGUCCGCUGACUUAUGAAGAUGGCAUGAUCAAUUUGAAUCACUUCCAUGACAAGAAAGUAAGUCAUUUCACCCAAGUCAGCCAUUUCAAAAACAUCUUGCAUCUGCACUUUGAACUCUUUAAUCAACUCUCUCUUGCUUCCAGUUAUCAACAAGUCUUCUACAUAGAGUGACACAAUCAAUAGGGUUUCAUUCUCUAACCUUAUUGUAUCUAACCUUGCAACAGGGGCAAAGGUUUCUUAGAAUUCAAUGCCAUAUUGUUGGCUAUAUCCCUUCACCACAAGUCUUGCCUUGUGUUUGUUUAGAAACCCAUCAGCAUUGUACUUGACCCUAAACACCCAUUUCACACCAAUAAUUCUCUUCUAUUGACCAGAUGUGUCCUCAAUAACAUAGGAGUUAUUAUUGAAAACAAGUGAAUAGCCUUUCUCUAUUAACUGACCAACACUAAGCAAAUUUUGGUCUAUAUCAAGUACAAAAAGGACAUCUGAAAUUGUUUUGUUACCUGAUUUUAUGUUGAUCACAACAUUGCCUCUUCCUUUGGCCUCAAUAAGGUUUCCAUCUCCAAUCCUAACUUUGGAAACAAAGCUUUUGUCAAGAUCUUUGAAUAACCCUUCAUCUGAUGACAUGUGAUGAGUGCAUCCACUGUCUACUAACCAGUCUCUUCUGACUUUGCUAGAAGUUGCAAAAUAGAAUGUAGUGAAAACAUGCUCCUCCCGAGCUUGAAUGUCCUCAGCAGCCUGAGCUUGAUUCUGUUGCUGAGUUUGUGCCCUUACUUUGUUCUUGCAAACUUUCUCAAUGUGAUCAAACUGCUUGCAGCUCCUACACUGAAUAUCAGGCUUGUGCCAACAGUACCUCUCUAAAUGUGUGGACUUUUUGUAGUGAAUGCAUGGUGGAAAUUUCUUCUUUCCUGCAUCCCUCUUUGGUCUCUCCCUCUUGUCAACAGAUGAUUUCUUUCUUUUGUAGCUCAAACUUAAGCUUUCUUUGACUUUUGCUUGAAAAGCUCUUUUAGGAUGCUCCUCCAGUUUGUUGGCCCUUCUUUGCUCUAAUGUAUACAGAGCAUUUAUCAAUUUAGAUAGUGAAAUGGUUGAUAAGUCUCUUAAGUCCUCCAGUGAGGAGAUUUUUGACUCAAAAUUUUCAGGAAGUGUUGUAAUGACCUUCUCAACAACUCUGCUCUCACUGAAAUCAUCUCCAAAGAGCCUAAUGUUAUUGACUGUGGUCAUUACCCUAUCAAAGUACUGCUUGAUUAUUUCAGACUCUUUCAUUUUCAAGUUCUCAAAGUCCCUCCUGAGGUUGAUCAGCUAUUGACUGGUCUUGUCUGACCCCAAAAACUCUUCCUUCAGCUUCUUUCAGGUUUGCUUUGGAGUGUCACAAGCCAUUAUUCGAGUGAAGAUCACAUCAGGACACUAUUUUGCAAGCAUGCUAUUGCUUUGUGCUUCUUGGCAUACUCUUCACUAUGCUGUCUGAUUUGUGCAAUGGUGGGAUUGGGCCUCAAUGCAGCUGGUUCUAUGUCAUUCUCAACCACAUUCCACAAGUCAUGUGCUUGGAGCUAAGUUUUCAUCUUCACUACCUAAAUGUGGUAGUUCUCACCAGAAAAGACAGAUGGUGGUGGUGGUGGUGUAAAGCUUAUGUUGUAGUAACAACAAAAAUAAUAGCUUCAGUUUCUUUUUCUUCAAGGUUCCUCACAAAACAGCUACCAACAACAAAGGCCCUCAAAGAUGACAGGCCUUGUAUACCAUUUGUAAGGGUUUUGACAGUAAAACAAAGAGAAACGAAGCAAAAAAUGUAUGCAAAAUAAAUUUGAACAAGAAGAAACUGAAAAAUGAAUUUGAUCAUCAUUUCAAAUUUUCAUUAAGUCAAAAACAUAUAGGUUACAAAGUUGUUACCUAAUGUGUAACUGCUCCCACUAAUUACUUGACUAAAGUAAAGCUAAAAUUACACACAAAAUGUAGCUGACAUAUCAACUAUUACAUCACAUUAGAAAUUAUUCAAAUCAUCAACUAAUCUUACUAACUUUAAAUACAAAUUACAUAAAAACUAAAUCUAGUUACAUAUGAACAAAAUGUUACUGCUGUACUGGUUGAGCUUCAAUGCUUCUUUGUUGUUGCAUUGCAGGCCAAAGUUUUACAAAUAAGCUUGGGUAACAUGGUAGAAAAAAAUAUGGAAGAACGUUCACUAUCAAGUUGGGUGUGCAUAGAGCUUUGGUGGUGAGUAGUUGGGAUAUUGCUAAAGAAUGUCUCACCAUAAAUGAUAAAGCAUUUGCCACACGUCCAAAGCUUGCAGCUUAGGAAAUUUUGGGUUAUAACAAUUCCGUGAUCGCCGUUGUGUCGUACGAACCUUUCUGGCGUCAAGUACACAAGUUUGCUACUGUUGUGCUCCUUUCUAAUCACCGGCUUGACUUGAUGUGUAGGAUCACCCCGAUUAAGCAACGAACAAGUAAAAAUAGUAGAAGAAAUUGAGAAGUUGAACACACAAAUUUAACGUGGAAAAACCCCUCCAAAGAGGAUAAAAAACCACGGGCAAAAAUAAUUUUACUAUAAUGGCAAAAGAACGAAGAGUACAAAAGAUGGAGAUAAAAACUAAACCCCAAAAAUCCGAAAACAAAGAACCCUCAAAACGUAAACACAAAAUUCUCUAAAUAUGUUAUGAGUUCUAAUCUAAUGGGUGUGUUUUUCUAAGAUUGUAAAAGAGCCUAUUUAUAGGCUAAAUUAGUAAGUCAAAUAAACUAUAUUGAUAAAUGCUAAAUUUAUUAUACUAAUAAAUACUAAAUCUUCUAGAAAUAAAACAUAUUUUUGUUUAACUUGACUUGCAAGCAAUCUCUUAGAAUUUGGGUCAUACAAUUCUAACAAUCUCCACCAUGACAUGAAUUCUUUCAACGCCAUCUUUGCCAAAACCCGCCACGGGCCUAUCUUGAACUAUGCAGGAAAUUAACUGAGUUGAAUCUAUGCUUAGAAGCUGGAAUACUUUUAGCCUUCGACUUGUGCACUGCCAAAUCAAAACUAACCCGGGUCUGAUUUUUACAAAUACAGUGCCCUAACUUUUCAAAACCUGCAUCCAAAAGAGAACCUCUCUUCAACAAAAUAGUCAUACCUUUUUCCCUCCUACGACCAAGUUGCCUCCGCUCAAAACGAGUUAACUUUGACUCUAUAACGGACGAGGGAUGUCCGAUUUCACCGGUCACUGUAGAACCUUCCAGAAUAUAAAGACUGCCAGUUCUUUUACCUUAUAACAAAACGAGAGCUCCACGAGAUAUUUUAAUGUCGUUAGACUCGAUGUUGAUUCUGCAUUCUUUCAAGUCUAAAAUACUUAAGGAGAUGAGAUUCUUUCGUAAAUCAGGUACAUACCUGACAUCUGAGAGUGUCCUAAUCGUCCCAUCAUGUAUCCUAAUUUUAACAGUACCAAUACCAAUUAUUUUACUAGAUGAAUCAGUUCCCUUGUGCACAACUCCACCUUCAAUUAAACUGUAUGUGGAGAACCAUUCUCUAUUGGGACAUAUAUGGAAAGAACAUCCUGAAUCUAGGAUCCACUCAGACGUAAGCUUGGAGUUAUCGCUCGUUGACACUAACAAGAAAUCAUCACCACCUUCAUCGACCAAAUUAGCAUCAAUUGCACCUUUCUCGUUAUUCUCAACAGCUCUUUUAUUUCGUAGUUUAUAACAAUCUGUUUUGACGUGACCUAACUUUUUACAAUAGCGACACCUUUUGUCUCGUUUCUUUGAUGCUACCAAAAUGGAAUCUUGCCUAUCUACUUUGCUAUUCAAACCAAAAUCAUUGUCGAGUUUGUCUCUACUCGACAAAUGACCCUUCACAUCUUCGAAUGAGAGUUUGUCUAUGCCAUAAAUCAGGGUCUCCCUGAAAGACUUGUAUGAAGAGGGUAAAUAGCACAAUAAUAGCAUAGCUUGAUCUUCAUCAUCAAUAUGAACCUUGACGUUCUUUAAAUCAUUUAAAAGAGUAAUGAAUUGGUUGAUGUGAUCUCUAAGAAGCUCACAUUCGUUCAUGGGAAACGUAAAUAGACGUUGUUUCAACUCUAAAUGGUUAGCCAGAGACUUAGUCGCAUAAAGAGUUUCUAACCUUUUCCACAAGGCGAAUGAGGUCUUCUCCAUCAAUACCAUCUGCAAUACUGUAUUCGCGAGGCACAACUAGAUUGCAGACAAUGCCUUUUCAUCAAGCUCUUCCCAUUUUGUUUGAUUUAGAUUCUCAGGAUUUUCCCUGUAAUAACCUUUUUCAAGACAUUUUGAACUAGAAUUGCCAUUAUCCGAACUUGUCACAGAUUGAAAUUUGUCUCACCAUCGAACUUCUUAAUUUCAAACCUUGUUGCCGUCAUAUCUAAAUGGGCUGAUAUAUGAAAAUUGAACUAUUUCUGAUACCACUUGUUAGAAUCGUCCCGAUUAAGCAACGAACAAGUAAAAAUAGUAGAAGAAAUUGAGAAGUUGAACACACAAAUUUAACGUGGAAAAACCCCUCCAAAGAGGAUAAAAAACCACGGGUAAAGAUAAUUUUACUAUAAUGGCAAAAUAACGAAGAGUACAAAAGAUGAAGAUAAAAACUAAACCCCAAAAACCCAAAAACAAAUAACCCUCAAAACGUAAACACAAAAUUCUCUAAACGUAUCAUGAGUUCUAAUCUAAUAGGUGUGUUUUCCUAAGAUUGUAAAAGAGCCUAUUUAUAGGCUAAAUUAGUAAGUCAAUUAAACUAUACUAAUAAAUGCUAAAUAUAUUAUACUCAUAAAUACUAAAUCUUCUAGAAAGAAAGUAUUUUUUUGUUUAACUUGACUUGAACUUGACUUGCAAGCAAUCUCUUAGAAUAUGGGUCACGCAAUUCUAACAUGAUGAAACAUGUACGGGAAUAUGAGAUAAAGACAUCUAUGUAAAAGUUAUAUCAGCUAUAGAACACUGAGAAAAGUAGUAAGAGUGAAAAAAUAUUGGUGGAUAUGAAGAGAAGGUUCAAAGGUGUUACUCUUAACAUGAUUUUAAGAGUUAUUUUAGGGAAGCGAAUACCGAAUUCAUACGAAAGAGGUGAAACCCUAAAAUGGAAUAAGUCAAUGGAUAACUUUUUUGAGCUAGGUGGGAAGUUUGUAUUAUCAGAUACACUGCCGUUUUUGAGAUGGUUAGACAUUGGUGGAGAGGAGAAGCUCAUGAAGAAGACGAGAAAAGAAUUAGACUAGGUUGUCGAGGGAUGGCUACGAGAGCACAAGGAAAAGAGAGCUGAAAAUGAUGUGAAUAGUGAUGAAGAUUUCAUGAGAGUAAUGUUGUCUAUUCUAUGUGAUAUGGAAAAGCAUGAUUUUGAUAUAAUCAACAAAGCCACAAGUCUUGUAUGGGCAAAUCUCCUUACCGCAAUCUUCAUUAGAACUAUGUUCAAAUUACACUUUUAAUGCCAUAAGGAAGUUAUGAUGUUGAAUAUUAAUUGUUGGUUUCAGGCUCUUAUCUUAGCGGCAGAAGAUAUCUCAUCAAUCACACUAAUGUGGGCUUUGUCUUUGUUACUUUAUAAUAGUGGUGCAACGAGAAAAGUACAACAUGAGCUAAAACAAUAGGAGCUAAACAUUCAUAUUGGUAAACAUAGAUUGUUAGUCAUAGAAUCAGACACCAAAAACUUAGUCUACCUUCUAUCAAUCAUUAAAAAAACAUUACGCUUAUAUCCUGCUAUUCUACUUUCGGGUAUCCAUAAAGCCAUUGAAGAUUGUACGAUUAAUGGUUUUUUUGUUUCAGCUGGUACUUAGCUUAUUUUCAAUCUUCAAAAGAUUCAUCGUCAUCCACUUGUAUGGGAAAACUCUUUGAAUUUUCCACUCGAAAGAUUUAUGACUACCCAUAGAAACAUUGAUGUGAAGGGACAAAAUUUUGAACUAAUUCCAUUUGGUAGUGGUAAAAGAAUGUGCCUUGGAAUUUCAUUUGCACUCCAAGUUUUAGAGCUUAUGCUAGGUAAUUUGCUACAUUAGUUUGAGUUUGGAACUCCAUCAAACGAUCCAGUCAAUAUGUCUGAAGCAGCCAGUUUGUCGAGUCCUAAAGCAACUCUAUUAGAAGUUCAUAUAACUCAUCGUAUUCCUACUUAUGUUUACCAAUAAUUAUCAUAAUUAAUUUUUUAGUAUUAUUACUAUUUAUAUAUUUUUUGUGGAUAUCAAAAUUGUUAGUAUAUUGAUUAUUUAUCGAACUAUUAUUAUAUAAACAAUCAAAAAUAAAUAUUUGGGCUGCUUGGUGCUAUUGGUGCAAUUGAAUUUGCUCAUUUAAUAUUUUUAUUUAAUUAUUUUUUUAUGAAUAAAUAAUUUUAUUCAAAAUAUGCAUUUCAAUAGUUAUGUUGAAAGAAUAUCAACGUACCAAAGCAUCUUAGAACGAAUGCCAAUUGAAACCUUAUCCCUGUAUUGGUGGAUAUCAACGUACUACUAAAGAAUUAAGUUGGAGCUGUUUACUAGGUACUUCUAAGAAAAUUUGAGAGAGUUCAUUUCAUAAAGAUACAAUUUUAGUUAAAUGAUAAAUUUAAAGUUGUUAUGCAUUCACUACACCAAAACAGGUUUUUAGCGGCGUUUUUUAGGCCUUUAGCGGCGCUUUUUAACGCCACUAAAGAUAUUUGCGGCGCUUCUUCAAGCGCCGGAAAAAAUGCCGCUAACGAAAACGUCGCAAAUGUUUGCAGCGUUUACAAACAAAAACGCCGUUAAAGACCAUGUUCUUUAGCGGCGCUUAGAAAAAAACGCCGCUAAAGAUCAUGUUCUUUAGCGGCGCUUAGAAAAAAACGCCGCUAAAGAACAUGUUCUUUAGCGGCGUUUGUAAAAAAAUGCAACUAAAGACCAUGUUCUUUAGCGGCGCUUAGGAAAAAACGCCGCUAAAGAACAUGUUCUUUAGCGGCGCUUAAGGGAAAACGCCGCUAAAGAUCAUGUUCUUUAGCGGCGUUUUUUUUCUAAUCGCCGCUAAAGAACAUGUUCUUUAGUGGCGCUUUUAUACAAAAACGCCACUAUUUUGGGGAUUUUUUUAUAUUAAAAUUUUCAUUUUUUCUGCCCUCCUGUAGCAAAAAUUCAAAAGCAACAUUUCAAAAGCAACCAAUAGCAAUAAAUUUAUAUAAUAUUUCAACAUAAGGGAAUAAAAUAAUAUUAAUAUCAAUAAAUAAAAGUGAAUUCAUAUUGUUUUUGCAAAAAAUGUUAAAUGUUAAAUGUUAAAAUGAUAAAAAUAUUUAUGUCAUACACUAUGAAGGUGGAAGUUGCGACUUAAACAUCUUCAUCAUAAUCUGAAGCUGCUGCUGAAGUUCGUCGUACUUUUUGCUCUACUCUGCUUCUCUUGCUGCAGCCUCCGCUUCCCUCACUGCAGUCGCUGCUUCCCUCGCUUCCGCCUCUGCUUUAAGUUGUAGCUGGAGUUCUUCAUAUUUCCUUUGAACCUCAAUUGUAGUCGCUUGCAUCUGAGCCAUUUGGUCUUUUAACCUCUGAACUUCAGCUUGAGCCUGACUCCCCGAAGCCAUGUAUUGGUGGGAGCUGGAUCCAAAAUAUUGGGUUGGGCUAACAAAAGAUCCUUGAAAUCGAACCCGACCAUACCUUUCAGGACCCAAAACUUCAGUAAUAAUCCGAUUAUCAAUAUCUUCAAGAUGAACCUAACUAUCACUAGAAGCAAUUGCUUCGUACUCCGCCUUUUUAUCAUUUAGUUUUUCCUAAUAAAUAUAUCACAUAGUUAGGAACACAAUAUUAUAUAUUGAAAAACAUAUGCAACAUAACAAUAGUCGCAUUAACUGCAAUGAAUUAAACCAUUAGAAAAUAAACACUAUAAAUAACUAAAAUAAGUCAAAUCGUAUUAAGUAAACGUACCAUUAUUUCAGCAGCUUCAGGAGUCAUGGGAGAUCCAUCUUUCUUCCUAUGUGUAAUUUCAAAAAGUUGAAGGCGUCCAACUUUUUGACCGGACGACCGUUCCUACAAUAUAGUAGUAUAAAUAUUAUUUAAUAGAAAGUUAUACAUAUUCGACAAUAUUAAAAAAUUUAAAAAUACCUCCGCCUCAGCUACACAUGCGAAACUUCUCGACCCGGCUGUGUGGGUGAAUUUUUGUUUCUGCCUGCUGCUUAUUUCAACUUGUUCACGAUCCUACGUUAUGAAAUUUUUUAGUACGUAAAUAGAAAAUACUAUAAACCAAAAUAAUUACAAUAGUUUAGAAGGACGUCAGACCUCGCCUUUAUUCGAAUGCCAAAAUCUAACCGCAUCUUCCCAUUGGUACCUCAACAUACCCGGCGGGACAUUUUGCAAUUUCUUAUCGAGGGUUGUUUUUGUCUUAUAAUAAUUUUUCUUCAAAGUACUUUUGUUGUCUCUCCAUCUUUUUCCCAAUGCCUUCUUUACAUAAGCAUCCGAGACCUCUAAAGCAAACCUCGCCUGCAAAAAACAAAAAACACAAGUUAAUAAAAUAAAUAUAAAUGAAACUAUUUCCCAAGCAUUAUAGAUGACAUUAACAUUUUGUUACCUUAAUAUUAUCGAGGGCUUGGUUUUUGUUGCUAUCGGGCAUUUGAUGCCAUGACUCGUAGUUUAUAGGUAACAUAUUCGGAUUUCGUGCUAAAAUGCCCAUGUAUCCAGCUAAAAGUCGAGCUUCUGAUCCAACAGGCUGACCAAAACUGUUUCGUCCAACUUUGACACGCUCGACUGAAUCUAACUCGUACAACUCUCUAAGUAGCGUACGUCCUCGACCUCUGCGCGUCCCACCAUUUUCAGCUACAAAUGGUAUAUUAUAAUAUAAGAAUUUGAAAAAUAAAUCAACUAUAACAGAAACACGCAUGUAAAUUAAAUGAAAAAUUACUUUGAACUUCUGUAGGAUCCUCAGCUGUAAUCGGAACAUUUGAAGAUCCAACUGCUGUCUGUUGUUCAGUACUAUUAGUUUCUGUCGAGUUUGGAUUAUUUUGAACAAUGCUUCCCCUUAGAAUUUUUCUUCUAGGCAUUUUAUCUACAAUACACAUAAAAUAGUUAAUAACUUAAUAGCUAAUUACAACAAUAACAGCACAUAUAAAACAGUUGAAACAUAUAAUAAGACGAAGAUUUAAAUUAUGAUAUUAUAUAUAAUUAAACAAUCGUAAAAUCUUACUACAUCAUUAUUCGUAAAUAUCUUCAUCGGUAUCCUGACGAACCCAUCCAAAUUGUGCACUAGUACUAGGGAUAUUAUCGUUUAAGUUUAGUUCUGGAAAGGGUAAAGUUACUGAUCUAUCUUCGAUGUUAUCUCUACUUCCACUGCCCAUAUCAAACAAGUCUCUAGGGAUGUUACGGAGUACAACGUACCAACCCUCAUCAGUUGGAUCUUUUGAGUAAAAAACUUGUUUGACUUGAGAUGAGAAUACAUACGGCUCAUCUAUCAGUUGUUGUCCUGUGUGAAUCAAUCGGUCAAAGUUCACCAUUGUAAAACCAAAUUGAUCUUGCUUAAUUCCACGAGCUGUAUUAACAUCGGCCCAAUCACCACGAAAUAAGACAACUUUCCAUUUGCCGUAGUAAUCCAACUCAAUUAUGUCAGUAAGUUGUCCGAAAUAUUCCACAUUUCCCUCGACAGGAUUAUUGUCCCUAGCACUAGCAUAACUCGUAAUUGCAGAAUUGACAACAAUUCCACAAUUUUGCGUUCUCCUCAACCUCUCGCGAUAUUUUGUAUGAAAUCUGAAUCCGUUGAUGAGGAACGCACUAUAUCUUUUAACCACUCGAUUUGGACCUUGGGAGAGCCAUUUAACAUCGUCGUCCGAAAUAAUUAAUGUUAUCUUCAAUACUCAAUUUUGAAUCAUAUAUGAAGUUUUAAAAUUAACUAUAAAGAUUCAUAAAACAAUUAUAUGGGGCGGGUGACAGUUUAUGAACAAUCUUUUAAGUGAGAUUAUUCAGCCGUCCAUCAAUGAACUUAGUCACUCCCUUUAUCCAACUUUUAACCAAAGGAACAUGUACAUGUUAAACUUCUUUAAUUGUAGGCUUCUUUUAGUUAUAAUCGACAUCAGAUUCAGUCGUUUUGAGGCUCUUCCAAGUUGGUUCAUUCCUAGGCUUUUAACAAAAUCUAACUUUUUGAAACCCCAUAUUGUACAUGAUUCAUCAUUUUCUUCAUCCCUUGCCAACAUUGUUUCCAAAAGAAAACAAACCAGAAAAAGCAAAAUCUGCUAAAGAACAGAACAAUAUCAGGUUGUUUAAUGUAUUAAAGGCAAACUAGAUUCCCCAAUUUGGUAAGAAAGGCAUAUAUUCUCGAUAACACAAUAACCAAGACUACAUAUAUACUGACAUAUAAAACAGUUUUGCUUAUUGUCCUAGUUGCCACAUAUGUUUAAAAGGAACCCAGAUUAAACUCUAGAAUCCACAGCCAUAAAGAUGAUAAUACAUUAGUUACCCAUUAGUUACCCACUAGUUACCCAUAGUUUGAGAUAUUCAAAUUUAGUUACCCAUUAGUUACCCAAAUACUACCAUUAGUUACCCUUUUAUGCUUCUCCAAAAAUCGCUGUAAUGGAGAAACAGCAGGCUAAGUUGUGCAAAACAUAACUCAAACCAACUAAAGGAGCAUUUGUCAUUGGCGAAAGCACUUUUUUUAUAGCUUCAACAAAUCAUAUCCGACUUUCCCAAAAUCGGAAGGUCUGUCCCUGUCUUCAAUCUUAACAAUUUCAUUUUCAUGGCCACGCCAUUGAUGCUCCUAGUUUUAUUAUUGGCUGUGUUUUGUAUUCGGGCAACCCCUAAAUAGACAAAAUUUUACCCCGAACAAACCCUUCUAUUUAAAUUGCUAAAUAAACAAUUCACAAGUUCCCCAAAUUCCCAAACAAGAAUGGUGUUUUAACCUAAACCGCAAACCCUAAAAUUUAAUUUUUUUUCUAAGCCCCAAAUUCGAAAAACACAAUGCACCCAAAACCCCAAAUCAAGACGAUGUUCUUCAGAAGGAUUAAACGCAUACCUUUUAACCAGAUAUUCUGCAACUACUGUCAAGAAUGGCGCAAUCGUUGCUUCCUCUUUGAUGAUUUCUGAUUUCUCCUCCCCUUUCUUCCUUAGAAUAUUUUCUUAGGUUUUUUCCCCUUCCCAAUCGGCGUUUUCACUUGCAGAAUAUUUUCUUUCUGUCUUUGUCGACGAGUGAGUAAAAAUGCUAAGUUAAAAGCCAUCUGCAGAAACGGCAUCGUUGAGAAAAAAUUUUAAAACACCUUUGCGGCGUUUAUAGACCAAACGCCACAAAAAAUUAAACCUUUUAACAGAAACGGCGCCGUUUUCUUAGUCUGAAAUUGCAUUUUUUGUGGCGUUUAAUAAAAACCGCCACGUAUACUUAAGCCAAACGUUGACGUUUUCAAUAAAUUAUUCUAAAAUUUUUCCAAGUUAAAAAUCUGUUCCGGAAACGACGUCGUUUAGCGAUUAUAUUAACACCGUUUUGUGGCGUUUUUGGUAAAAACGCCACUAAAUAUUACAGCUGUGAACAGAAACAACACCGUUUUCGUGGUCUGGAAUUGCAUUUUUUGUGGCGUUUUUAGAAAAACGCCACUAAAUAUUACAGCUGUGAACAGAAACGACACCGUUUUCGUGGUCUGGAAUUGCAUUAUUUGUGGCAUUUUCUUAAAAACGCCACUAAAAGUUUAACUAUUCAUUCGAAAACGGCGCCGUUUUGAAUUUUUUUAUUUUUUUAUUUCAUUUCUUAUGUAUUUGGUCAUAUAUAUAUAUAUCCAAAAUAAAUAAUUAUACCUAAAUAUAUAACCAUCCAUAUAAUAUAUAUCAAUAUAUUUUUUAACUUAUUUAUGAAUUCUAUUUAAAAUAAUUUUUAAAUAUAUCAAUUGGUACUUUAGAUUGAUUUUUUAAAAUAUUAUUUAAAUAAAUUAAUCUAAACUAACCUAAAAUCCUUAUUUGACCCCUAAACCCUAAAUCUUUAACCCCUAGAUUGCAACUUGUAACCCCUAAACCCCUAGCUAACUCUUACAUCCCAAACCCUAAAUCUGUACCCCCUAAUCCUUAAAAUAGCACGACCUCUUUUACGACCUCUUUUACAGUUAUAUAUAUAAGAACAUAUUUAAAAUAUAAUUUGUCAAUACUAAUUAAUCUAAACCCUAGCUAAACCCUAAAUCCUUAAUCAACUCCUAAUAACCCCUAAACAUUAUAUCUCAGCCCUUACACCAUAUCCCUAAAUCCAAUAUUAUAUAUAUACUCUUGAUCAAUUAUAAUAAUAACCUUAAAAUAGUAACCCCUAAACCGACUUAAAAUCUUAAAUUAAUAAUAUCAUAUAUAUACCCUUAAAACCUAAAACCCUAUAUUAACUAUAGUGAUACGCUUAAUUAAAUAUUUUAAAUUUAAAUUAAUACUUACUAUCUCUUUUAAUUACGAUAAUAAUUUCAAAUUUUUAAUAUAUAAAUUAAAACUUUAAAUAAUACUUUAAAAUUUAAAUUAUUUUAAAUAAUACUAUUUUAAUUUUUCCAUGUGUUUUAUUUCAAAUUAUUUAUACCUGUUAUUUUUUAUUGAAGAUUUUAAAUAUUCUAUUAGAAAUAUGUUUAAUUUGAUUCAAAUAAUAUAAAUAAUAGUUCAAUUAAGAUAAUUUUUUUUGCGGCGCAUAAACAAAAACGCCUCUAAAACACCUAGAUUAGCGGCGCUUUACAAAAACGCCACUAAUGCCCCCCCAAAGGACACAAAACGGCACCGUCUGGGAGUAUUAUUUGCGACAUUUUUUAUAAGCGCUGCUAAUGUUCACUCUUUAGCGGCGCUUUACAAUAAACGCCACUAAGUCCCCCCCAAAGGCCACAAAACGGCACCGUCUGGGUGUAUUAUUUGCGGCGUUAUCUAUAAACGCCACUAAUGCUCACUCUUUAGCGGCGCUUCGCAAUAAACGCCACUAAGUCCCCCCCAAAGGCCACAAAACGGCACCGUCUGGGUGUAUUAUUUGCGGCGUUAUUUAUAAACGCCGCUAAUGCUCACUCUUUAGCGGCGCUUUACAAUAAAUGCCACUAAGUCCCCCCAAAGGCCACAAAACGGCACCGUCUGGGUGUAUUAUUUGCGGCGUAAUCUAUAAACGCCACUAAUGCUCACUCUUUAGCGGCGCUUUACAAUAAACGCCACUAAGUCCCCCCCAAAGGCCACAAAACGGCACCGUCUGGGUGUAUUAUUUGCGGCGUUAUCUAUAAACGCCACUAAUGCUCACUCUUUAGCGGCGCUUUUCCUUAAACGCCACUAAUGCUCACUCUUUAGCGGCGCUUUUAAUUAAACGCCGCUAUUGCUCACUCUUUAGCGGCGCUUUUGCUCCAAACGCCGCUAAAAGUGCCGCUAAAAGCUUGUUUUGGUGUAGUGAUUCACCACUUCUCGAUCUACUCCUUACGAAAGCUCUACCUAUUAGUUGAACAUAUCUUUCGGGAACAUUCCUCGACCUAGUAAUCAUAUUAAUUUAUGUGAAUUCCACUCAUUAAUUGUCACUACUCAUUCUAAGAAGAUAGCGAAAGAAUUGGACCAAGUUGUGCAGGGAUGGUUACGAGAGCACAAACAGAAGAGAGUUGAAAAUAAGGCAAAUGGUGCGGAAGAUUUCAUGGGAGUAAUGUUGUCUAUUCUUAGUGAUGAUGAGGAACACCAUGCUGAUACAAUCAACAAAACCACGUGUCUCGUACGUGCGUCUCUUAACCAUUUUGGUCAAGAUUGCUAUUACUAACAUACGUAAGUUGGAAAUGUUAUUAUUUUAUUGUUGAUCUUUUUAUGGUAUAUGAUCUAACAUGACAUUGUCUUAGGUGCAGAGGAUACUACAUCGAUCACAUUGAAAUGGACCUUAUCUCUACUACUUAGUAAUCGUGACAAAUUGAGUAAAGUCCAACAAGAGCUAGAUGUCCACGUUGGUAAGGAUAGACUACUAGUGACUGAAUUAGACACAAAAAACUUAGUCUACCUUUAAUCCAUCAUUAAGGAAACUUUAUGUCUCUACCCUUCUAUUCCGCUCCCCCUAAUCUAUGAAGCCAUUGAAGACUGCACGGUUAAUGGAUACCAUGUUUCAA